AUUGAACGCUAGCGGCAUGCCUUACACAUGCAAGUCGAACGGCAGCACGGGGGGCAACCCUGGUGGCGAGUGGCGAACGGGUGAGUAAUGCAUCGGAACGUGCCCAUCGAUGGGGGAUAACUGCGCGAAAGCGUUGCUAAUACCGCAUACGACCUACGGGUGAAAGCAGGGGACCGCAAGGCCUUGCGUCGAUGGAGCGGCCGAUGCCGGAUUAGCUAGUUGGUGAGGUAAAGGCUCACCAAGGCGACGAUCCGUAGCUGGUCUGAGAGGACGACCCAGCCACACUGGGACUGAGACACGGCCCAGACUCCUACGGGAGGCAGCAGUGGGGAAUCUUGGACAAUGGGCGAAAGCCUGAUCCAGCAAUGCCGCGUGUGGGAAGAAGGCCUUCGGGUUGUAAACCACUUUUGGCGGGAAAGAAAUGGUCUGUGCUAAUACCACGGAUUGAUGACGGUACCCGCAGAAUAAGCACCGGCUAACUACGUG
rnacentral:rRNA from 1 species